rnacentral:rRNA from 1 species
UACAGAGGGGGCAAGCGUUUAUUCGGAAUCAUUUGGGCGUAAAGCGCGCGUAGGCGGCCCCGGGUAAGUCCGCUGUGAAAAGUCAAAAGGCUCAACCCUUUUUGAAUGUCAGCGGGAUACUGCCCGGGGCUAGAGUCCCGGGAAAGAGGGCGAGUGGGAACUCCCUGGGUGUAGCGGGUGGGAAAUGCGCAGAUAUCAGGGAAAGAAACACCCAAACGGGCGAAAGGGCA